rnacentral:rRNA from 1 species
CAGUCGCCGCGGGAACACAGAGGGUGCGAGCGUUAAUCGGAUUUACUGGGCGUAAAGCGUGCGUAGGCGGCUUUUUAAGUCGGAUGUGAAAUCCCUGAGCUUAACUUAGGAAUUGCAUUCGAUACUGGGAAGCUAGAGUAUGGGAGAGGAUGGUAGAAUUCCAGGUGUAGCGGUGAAAUGCGUAGAGAUCUGGAGGAAUACCAAUGGCGAAGGCAGCCAUCUGGCCUAAUACUGACGCUGAGGUACGAAAGCAUGGGGAGCAAACAGGAUUAGAUACCCCGGUAGUCCCUGUCUCUUAUAC